UGGCCGGCCAUAGACCACACAUGAUACGGAGGGUGUUCCGUGAGGUAUUGCAGUCUGCAGCUUCACUCUGUUAGAGAUAGGUAUUGCGGCAGAGGGCAGCAAUGCAAGGAGUAGCAGGUCAACACAGGGUACACUUAAGAGCUCAGUUGAACUUACCGGCGUAAGGCCAGUUUAGAUUCACCAUUUGAUCGAGAAGGGUUCAGCUGCAGGUCGAAGACUCUGCCUCUAAAAAUCUGUAGAAAGAGAAGGAGAAGAGCACCUGUGCAGUUUUUCCAAUUCGAAAAAGAAAAGGAGCGGAAAACGUUUUCCGACCAGGAACAAUGGCACAACAGAAUCAGCCACAUUUCUCCAUAAAGGCAGAGAAUAUAAAACCAACUUUGAUUACAAAAUGAAUCCAUGUGCCCUCUUUGUAAAAAACAAAGAGAUUACAGCAUCCUGUUGCCUCAUUUUUAUAGCCAUGAAGCCCACUAUGUAAAGUAUGCAGGUUUCUAAGUGACCAUUUUGUGGUUUCUCUGUAUUUCGUCCUCGAGGCCCCCUUCAGUUUUAACGAGAUUUAGCGUCUAUUGAGCCAUUGAUGAAAAGACAGAAGAUGAGUAAAGACUUGCACUACGUCUGAAGUGAAAUAAUGUCUUGCUAGUCUAUUCCAUAGAACUGCAUUCAUGUAGGUUUUAAAUCUUUUCUUUUUGAAGAAAUGUCAGCCUCCCUUCUCCAACAUCAAGCACAGGUGAUG